rnacentral:rRNA from 1 species
CAAGCGUUUAAGAGCAUUUGAUGGAUGCCUUGGCACACAAAGGCGAUGAAGGACGUAGUACGUUGCGAUAAGCUUCGGGGAGUGACGAACACACUUUGAUCCGAAGAUUUCC